rnacentral:rRNA from 1 species
UACGUAGGUGGCAAGCGUUUGUCCGGAAUUAUUGGGCGUAAAGCGCGCGCAGGCGGUCCCUUAAGUCUGAUGUGAAAGCCCACGGCUCAACCGUGGAGGGUCAUUGGAAACUGGGGGACUUGAGUACAGAAGAGGAAAGCGGAAUUCCACGUGUAGCGGUGAAAUGCGUAGAGAUGUGGAGGAACACCAGUGGCGAAGGCGCUUUCUGGUCUGUAACUGACGCUGAGGCGCGAAAGCGUGGGGAGCAAACAGG